GAUGAACGCUGGCGGCGUGCCCAUCCAUGCAAGUCGCGCGAACAGACGAGGAGCUUGCUCCUCUGACGUUAGCGGCGGACGGGUGGGUAACACGUGGAUAACCUACCUAUAAGACUGGGAUAACUUCGGGAAACCGGAGCUAAUACCGGAUAAUAUAUUGAACCGCAUGGUUCAAUAGUGAAAGGCGGUUUUGCUGUCACUUAUAGAUGGAUCCGCGCCGCAUUAGCUAGUUGGUAAGGUAACGGCUUACCAAGGCGACGAUGCGUAGCCGACCUGAGAGGGUGAUCGGCCACACUGGAACUGAGACACGGUCCAGACUCCUACGGGAGGCAGCAGUAGGGAAUCUUCCGCAAUGGGCGAAAGCCUGACGGAGCAACGCCGCGUGAGUGAUGAAGGUCUUCGGAUCGUAAAACUCUGUUAUUAGGGAAGAACAAAUGUGUAAGUAACUAUGCACGUCUUGACGGUACCUAAUCAGAAAGCCACGGCUAACUACGUG
rnacentral:rRNA from 1 species